rfam:Flavobacteriaceae bacterium JJC contig01, whole genome shotgun sequence.
UUUCAUGAGGAAAAAUUUGAACUGAUUGCAACCUCCAUAAAAAAUGCUAAAACAGAAUUU